AACAUAAAUCAUUCCUCAAAAACAAUUUGUCUCAGGAGCAGGUCUUUCCUCUGCUCCGAGUUCUACAGCUUAGACAAAUAUGUUUGUCUUUUUCCACUUCGUUGAAGUGCGAAUUCAGAUCCGCUAACUAGGAAAUGGAUAAGUCUUUCAUUAAGGAGCCUUCGUCACUCCCCAUUGGGUUCGACAAAUAACAAAUUAAUUUCCAGCCGCCUAAUUUCUCUCUGUUCUCCACUGAAUUUACGGUAACAUCAAAUUACCGAUCACAGGAAUGUGAACUCCCUCAAGUCUUUAUCAAUUCAUAAAAAAAAUAUGCCGCAAAGGAAACGCUACAGAGCAAGUUCUCUUUUUAAUUUGACUCCAUGCCUCCUUUAGCACCUCGGCACUCGACAAACACAAAUCAACUGAUGUGUGUCAUUCAAAUUAGGAGAUUCGGCAUACCUGAAACAAGUUGCUUUGCGGUAAUUACAGAGUUGACUUUCAACUUUUCAAAGUAAAACAGUCUGACUUAAAAAAAAAAAAGAAAAAAAAAAGCCUUUUCUCUGUGGGUAGCAGUGUUUGGUAAAGAAGCAGUUGUGUAUUGACAGGGCCGUAUUGAUGUUUCAAUUAGAGCGGUGUUACAUUGUGCAGCAGCACGGUAACACCAUGCAUCUCCUGCCAUCUGCUCUGCCUCCACGUCUGACGAACGACACACGUGGGGCUAAUCGAGCCGCACAUGAGCGAUGGGACCGCGAGCUCUGACACACACAUACACACACACACACACACACACACACACACACACACACACACAUGCACACACGCACACUAACACACACUCCUCCUUUAUGUGCAUCCUUAUGCAGAAAACUGGGGGAAGGACGAGGGCGAGCUCCUGUUUUAACACCCUUCAGAAAGCCUGUGAUUCCUCCCCUUCUGCCUUCACGUGCGCAUCACAAGCGGGUUAUUCCUCUGACUGUGAAAAUGCAAAAUAGCAGAUGUAGGAGUUCAAAUACAUCAAAAGCUCAUCUGAUGCAAAGAUUGUCAAAAAAUUAAUAAAUAAAUUGGAAAAAAAAAUAGAAGGGGACUGCUUGUGCCAGAUUUCCCGUGCUGGCAUUACUGCCUGCCAAACCACAUGAAUCAAAGACCUCAUUGUGUGGAUUAUUUCGUUAAUCUAUUGAUGCCAUUGAAGAGUAUUGCAGGUGUUAAUGUGCCAGCUUCCCCCCUGCUUUAUUGGGGAGGUGUAGCGUUAGGUCGGUAAUCUGUUUUAAAUGCUUUCUGGGGAACGAGACACUGAAACGCAGCCAAGAAAACUCUGCUGUGGUGAAGAGCGUUCCCUUAAUACAACGCAGGCGAGACUGAUGCCAACGGGGGAGCGCCAAGGAGCAACACUUGUUGAAAUAUUUGACUGCAUGAAUAAUAAGGAGGGAGGGAUAUGAUAUAGCUGAAGCAGUCCAUUAUUCGCAUCCAUCCCACCAACGCCUCACUGCUCCUCUUCUCUUGCACAAGUUGUGUGUGUGCGCCAUGCCAAGCUCAUCUCGACGCCCGCUCCAGCUGACUUUGGAGGAGCAAAGCAAAGCAACACAGAAAGGGAAAGCCAUAAAGAGGCAGAGAGUGAUGAAAGUGUCGGGCCAGGAAUGUCCCCUCUCCGGACAAAGUCCUGGUCCCUGAAGCUGACACCAGGGGGACGACAGCUGGGGCGGGAUGGAAGCCUGCUCCCUCUGCUCUGGACCGAAGGCCCCGGUUUGAACAUUAAACUGCCUCUUCAUUAAUUUUGGUCUGUCUGUGCUUCACUGUGUGAUGAGCAGCCAGUUUUCCCACACGCCAUUAAACAUGAGUGUGACGAAUGAUAGAACUGCUGCAAAUAUUUUUAAGAUCUCUUUUGGUGACGUAAGGAUCGAGGAUCUUACAAUUUUGCCUUUGUUUUGGCCCCGAUCUCGCACAAUGUUGGACAACAAUUGUAAGGUCAUACAAAAUACAUCAUCACGCUCCUCAUCACAGAGAAAGCGCAGCUUUUUUAUUCUUAACAGAAAAAUAAUAAUAAUAAUUCACAAAGUUAGUUGAAGAACCUAUCCUUCUUUUCACAGUGAAUGCAAAAA